rnacentral:rRNA from 1 species
AAUAGAUACCCAGGUAGUCCACGCCGUAAACGAUGAGUGCUAAGUGUUAGAGGGUUUCCGCCCUUUAGUGCUGCAGCUAACGCAUUAAGCACUCCGCCUGGGGAGUACGGCCGCAAGGCUGAAACUCAAAGGAAUUGACGGGGGCCCGCACAAGCGGUGGAGCAUGUGGUUUAAUUCGAAGCAACGCGAAGAACCUUACCAGGUCUUGACAUCCUCUGCCAACCCUAGAGAUAGGGCGUUCCCCUUCGGGGGACAGAGUGACAGGUGGUGCAUGGUUGUCGUCAGCUCGUGUCGUGAGAUGUUGGGUUAAGUCCCGCAACGAGCGCAACCCUUGAUCUUAGUUGCCAGCAUUCAGUUGGGCACUCUAAGGUGACUGCCGGUGACAAACCGGAGGAAGGUGGGGAUGACGUCAAAUCAUCAUGCCCCUUAUGACCUGGGCUACACACGUGCUACAAUAGAUGGUACAAAAGAGCUGCGAACCCGGCGAGGGUAAGCGAAUCUCAUAAAAGCCAUUCUCAGUUCGGAUUGU